GAUGAACGCUGGCGGCGUGCCUAAUACAUGCAAGUCGAGCGAACAGAUGAGGAGCUUGCUCCUCUGACGUUAGCGGCGGACGGGUGAGUAACACGUGGAUAACCUACCUUUAAGACUGGGAUAACUUCGGGAAACCGGAGCUAAUACCGGAUAAUAUAUUGAACCGCAUGGUUCAAUAGUGAAAGACGGUUUUGCUGUCACUUAUAGAUGGAUCCGCGCCGCAUUAGCUAGUUGGUAAGGUAACGGCUUACCAAGGCAACGAUGCGUAGCCGACCUGAGAGGGUGAUCGGCCACACUGGAACUGAGACACGGUCCAGACUCCUACGGGAGGCAGCAGUAGGGAAUCUUCCGCAAUGGGCGAAAGCCUGACGGAGCAACGCCGCGUGAGUGAUGAAGGUCUUCGGAUCGUAAAACUCUGUUAUUAGGGAAGAACAAAUGUGUAAGUAACUAUGCACGUCUUGACGGUACCUAAUCAGAAAGCAACGGCUAACUACGUG
rnacentral:rRNA from 1 species